rnacentral:rRNA from 1 species
AGUGAACGCUGGCGGUAGGCCUAACACAUGCAAGUCGAACGGCAGCACAGUAAGAGCUUGCUCUUACAGGUGGCGAGUGGCGGACGGGUGAGGAAUACAUCGGAAUCUACUUUUUCGUGGGGGAUAACGUAGGGAAACUUACGCUAAUACCGCAUACGACCUACGGGUGAAAGCAGGGGAUCUUCGGACCUUGCGCGAUUGAAUGAGCCGAUGUCGGAUUAGCUAGUUGGCGGGGUAAAGGCCCACCAAGGCGACGAUCCGUAGCUGGUCUGAGAGGAUGAUCAGCCACACUGGAACUGAGACACGGUCCAGACUCCUACGGGAAGCAGCAGUGGGGAAUAUUGGACAAUGGGCGCAGGCCUGAUCCAGCCAUACCGCGUGGGUGAAGAAGGCCUUCGGGUUGUAAAGCCCUUUUGUUGGGAAAGAAAAGCAGCAGGUUAAUACCCCGCUGUUCUGACGGUACCCAAAGAAUAAGCACCGGCUAACUUCGUG